UUUUAGCCCUUAACACAAUUCAUUAUUUACAUAAAAUACCCAACCCUAAUAGACGCAGCCGCUCUCUCCUCCUACCAUUGACGCUGCUUCAAGCACUGUGCUCGAGCUCUCUCUCCAUCUCGAGCCCUAACUCCAUCUCAAGCUCUCUCUCCAUCUCUCUCCGUCUCCCUCAAUCUCCAUCACGAGCUCUUCGACACAAACCCAUCUCAAGCUCUCUCUCUCGAUCUCCAACGCAUCUCUCUCUCUCUUCUCCAGACGCAAACCCAUCUCGAGUUCUCUCUAUUUGAGAUUCUGCAAUUGUGAGAUGACUUGAUGGUGCAAUGCGAGGAUUGUUCCUGUUUUUAUGCAAAUGAAUGAUGAGUUUUUGAUUGAUUGGUUUAUGAGCAUUCAAGCUCACUCUCUCGUAGUUGAAUCAUUUUCCCAAUCAUUCAUGUUUUGAGACUCUGAAUUGUUUUGCUGAUAAAUGUGUAAUUGGCGAACGAGAUGAUGCUUGUAGUUACUGCGUAUAGAGUUUUGAUUGUUUUUUUUUUCUUCUCAAUCCGCUGAACAUGUGAAAAUGAUAAACUUUAGGAGUUUCUUUGUGAUAAGUUUGUGGUCUGUUCUUUUAGAUGGGUUUGUCUAAUGAGUUAUCGGUGGAGAGGGAUCGGCUGAUAAGGAUCAGUGAUGGGUUUCAGUGAGCUGUGCUUCAUGAGGCAAUAAUAAGACAGGAUUCUGCGGAAAACGAAGGGGCAAUAACCAGAAAGGUUUCUUGCUAGGGGAAAGGCAUUUACGUCCUUCAAUGGUGAAGCUGAAGGAGAAGUAGUCACUGCUCAAGAAAGCGCAGAAGAAGAAGCAGAACUGACUUCCUCUUGAACAAUCAAGACUAAGCAGUUUUGUGGUGUUCGUGUGAGAGAGAGAGGGUGUGGUUAAGAUUAAUUAUUGGCCUUGUUGUUGUUACGAUAUAUCAUUUUUACAGAGUUUAGAGAAAAUAGAAUGAAAAUGAUUUUUAUUUAA